rnacentral:piRNA from 1 species
UGCAGGAACAAUGGCCAGCCUUUAGCCUGA